GAGAGAGAGAGAGAUGAUCAUCAAUCCUAAUUCCUAUUCCCCAUCCUCACACAACUCUAGAUCAUAGAUUUACGAUAUAGGAAUAAAACUAAGUUAUUUCGUAGUCAA